GAUGAACGCUGGCGGCGUGCCUAAUACAUGCAAGUCGAGCGAACAGACGAGGAGCUUGCUCCUCUGACGUUAGCGGCGGACGGGUGAGUAACACGUGGAUAACCUACCUAUAAGACUGGGAUAACUUCGGGAAACCGGAGCUAAUACCGGAUAACAUGUUGAACCGCAUGGUUCAACAGUGAAAGACGGUCUUGCUGUCACUUAUAGAUGGAUCCGCGCCGCAUUAGCUAGUUGGUAAGGUAACGGCUUACCAAGGCAACGAUGCGUAGCCGACCUGAGAGGGUGAUCGGCCACACUGGAACUGAGACACGGUCCAGACUCCUACGGGAGGCAGCAGUAGGGAAUCUUCCGCAAUGGGCGAAAGCCUGACGGAGCAACGCCGCGUGAGCGAAGAAGGUCUUCGGAUCGUAAAACUCUGUUAUUAGGGAAGAACAAAUGUGUAAGUAACUAUGCACGUCUUGACGGUACCUAAUCAGAAAGCCACGGCUAACUACGU
rnacentral:rRNA from 1 species